GAGUGAAACUCCGUCUCAAAAAAAAAAAAAAAAAGACCGAUCUUUCCAUUGUACCAACUGCCUUGUUGGAUUCCCUUACCUCCUGAAAGGUAGGAUUUGCUCUGAUUUGUUCUGUUGCCCUUUGCAAAUUUCCUUUGCUGUCAGUUUGUUAAAGGUAUGUUGCUACCUUCUCAAAUAUGUGUGUUGAAGAUUUUAAAAGAUUAGAGGUUAGCCUUCAGGACAUCUGUUUAUUUACUUACUUUGACAAUUCCUACUGCAGAGCAGGACAUUUAAAAGACAAGAAAGGCUUUAUUUCUGCCUUGUCUCUCUCCACGUACGCAUUCUGACAGUAUGGCAAAGUUGGAAGUAUAUAAGUUUUGGAAGGAGGCCUGAGUUAAAAAUACCAGUGCUUUGUAAUAUGGACAUGAUUUGAGUCGUGAUUGAAUAAAAACAAUUUUAAAAUGUGAGACAUUUGUGAAAUUUGAACCUAAUUGAAUAUCUAAUAUCAAGCAGUCACUAAGUUUUUUCAAGUAUAAUAAUGUGGGUAGGUUUAAAAAAAGGCCUUAUCUUUUAGAAAUACAUAUGGAAAUAUUUGUGGAUAAAAUGUUGGGCUAUCUGGUAGUUGCUUACAAAAGUAGUGGGGAGCACAUGGGGUGUGGAUUGGAUGGUUGUCGGGACAGGAUGAUAAGUACAUGAUGACUCUGUCUGCAACUUAUAUAUGAUCGAAAUUCUCCCUAAAAUUUAGUUCUCCCUAGAAGUAAAAAAGAAAAAAAAAAUCUCACUGUUGGUACUUUGUAACUGUGUAAAGUUAGGUAAUGUACUCAACCUCUGUGAGCUUCCAUUUCCUUAUCUUUAAAACUGGAAUAAUUAUAACAAUGUUGCAGGUUUGCUGAAAAUUACAUGAAAACAUCUGGCCUAAAGGUUGAUGUUAGUAGGUGCUCAAUCAAUCGUUGCUGUUUUGUUGUUACUGUUUUAGGAGACUUGGAAAACAUUAAAUCAGUUGUUAUCUCUGAGCCUGGGAGUCCAUGUUUCCUCAGACUGGGCUACAUCUCCACUACUAAUAGGGUAGUUCUUACUGUGUUUUCCAAGAGCAUUUGCCUCACCCUUGCUUUCUCCUUCUCCAAAGCUACCUUAAAUCAAGGAAGGUUUAUUACAAAGGAAUUUGAGAGUCCAUUAAACAGUAUCAAGAGAUGCAGGUUGGUCUUUUAGUGAAGCAGAACUGGAAUGCUUCAGCAGCCAAGGUUCUCACCAGAAAAUACAGAACUUCUUACAACUUUAGAAUUACUCUACUUAUAGCUCAGCAUUUACUGGAAGGUAUUUGAACAUCUUGGCAAUGCACUGAUUUAUGAUCCUACCAACUAUAAGGUAUUGCAGGCUGUGAAGGCUCUGGCCUUCUUAAGAGAUGACCCCACUGCUCCUAGAGAUGAUCUGACCCUGGAAAGCAAAGGAAUAGCUUCUUCAGUUUGAAUACCUGAAAAAUAGAAAAAAUAUAAAUAAAAGGCCAUCAGCUGCCUGAAAUGAGGCAACUUCUUGGCACCCUUCGAUUGGAAGAUUCUGUAUAAUGUGGGCCUUGUCCAUUUGACCAUGCAGCAGUAUGCAUCAGCUUUUCAUUUUCUCAGUGCGGCCACCAACUUCAAGCCAAAGAUGGGGGAGCUCUAUAUGCUUUUGGCAGGUAAGAAACAUUUAUGUGGAAAACUCUCUCUGCCAUUUGUAAUGAGGGAAAAAUGGAUUCAAAUCAUAGGAGAUCACUGGAUGUCUUAUAGGAGCCAUUUUCUUGGAGAUCCUAUAGGAAUCUGGAUUACUCUUCUGGAGCUUAAAGAAAUAACAAAUGAUGACAAAGGAACUUGAUUGUUUCUAACUUGAUGGAGUUCCACUCAAAGACCAACAGGUUAAAUAAAGAUAAUCCCUCGUUCACCUUUUACCAAUUUUUUCCCCUUGCUGUGACAAUUCAUUUAUAUAUAUAUUGAGUCCAACUAAGUUCCAGACAGCAAGUGUUAAGAGCUUGGGUUUUAGGUGGGGAACCUGCUUCUCCUGUUUACUAUAUGUACCUAGGCCUAGUGUGAGGAUUGCAUGAUUAAACACUCAAUAAAUAAUAGUGAUUUUGUUGAAACACUGAUUUUUGAAAACUUGGUUUUAUUGUGGUUAUAUAACUGGUCUAUUAUUAUCAAUAUUGUUAUUAUAAUUGGGAAGUCAAGCUACCUUAUGUUGAAACCCUUACCUCUUCUGAGCAUGUUGUGUAGAAUGCCAUUCUCUUCCUGAAACUCAAUUUUAUACCAUGCAAAUACUAAAAUUGAUCAUGAAAAUAAGUUAGAAUUAAAAACUUUAAAAAUUAUACAAAGCCAUUUAAUUUUAAAUUACUGACUAAAUAGUCUUCCUGUGAAAUAUUUUCUCCUAUACAUUUACUUACCAAAUGUAAGACCCAAAGCAGAUUUCCAUGUCCUCAUUUGGCAGUGGUCUUCCAGUGGCUUUUUGUUCAUUACUGUGGGGUUCUUAUUUAUAAGCGAAAGCUUGUGAAAGCAGUAGAGGCAUGGUUAUUUGAGAGUUGCCUGCAUACAGAAAUAACUUUUUU